UACGUAGGUCCCGAGCGUUGUCCGGAUUUAUUGGGUUUAAAGGGUGCGCAGGCGGUCUGUUAAGUCAGCGGUCAAAGCCCGGGGCUCAACCCCGGCCCGCCGUUGAAACUGGCAGUCUCGAGUUGGAGAGAAGUAUGCGGAAUGCGCGGUGUAGCGGUGAAAUGCAUAGAUAUCACGCAGAACCCCGAUUGCGAAGGCAGCAUGCCGGCUUCCUACUGACGCUGAAGCACGAAAGCGUGGGGAUCGAACAGG
rnacentral:rRNA from 1 species